rnacentral:rRNA from 1 species
UACGUAGGGGGCGAGCGUUGUCCGAAGUUACUGGGCGUAAAGAGCGCGUAGGCGGGCUUCUAAGUGAGAGGUGAAAGGUUCGGGCUCAACCCGGAGAGUGCCUUUCAUACUGGGAGCCUUGAGUACGGGAGAGGCAAGUGGAAUGGUCGGUGUAGCGGUGAAAUUCGUAGAUAUCGGGAGGAACACCGGUGGCGAAGGCGGCGACCUGGGUAGAUACUGACGCUGAGGUGCGAAAGCGUGGGGAGCAAACAGG